GCGGAUGUGGCGGAAUUGGCAGACGCGCUAGAUUCAGGUUCUAGUGUUCGAUAAGAACGUGGAGGUUCAAAUCCUCUCAUCCGCA
rnacentral:tRNA from 1 species